AGCAAUGAAAAAGACACUUUAUGUCUGCUCCAUCAUUUUGUUUUGUCAACGCAAAAAUAUUUCAAUCGAUGGUUUUUUUAAGCAAGAAAGUUGUAAUCAUAAUAGGCUUUAGUGCGUUGAUGACAUUGAAAUACAUAAUUUCGGUAUGAUAUUGUUAUGAUGAGAUAUUAACAUAGUCAAAGGAAAAAAAACUUCGCUAUAACAUAAGGAAACCGCAAAGAACUUAUGUGGUGAGCGGUUGUGUGGUGAACGAUUUUCUCUCAACGAAGUUUUUAAAAUGUGAUCAAUGGCAAGUUUUGUGUUCCAAUUCAAAUUGAACCAUACAGCCAGUGUUACGAUUAUACGAAGCACGACGCAUUCAUACUUUGUUUUGAAAUUCGGUUAAGGUGGAGAGUUCGCAAACCCAAAAAUAUUUAGAAGGAUAAGCAGAACUAACGCUUGUGUGAGAAAAUAAAGUUAAUUACAAUAACCUGUUACUGUUAAAACGGUGUAUUAAAUCAUUCGAUUAUAAAAUUUGGAGGAAGAUGCCAUUGUGAAUGAUAUGAACAACAUUGUAACUUCGACAACGAGUGAAAUAAGAAAAUGUGGCGUGACCGCAGUACCAGACAUACGGGAGACUGUUAUCAGAAUCAAGUUUUGUUAAUGCAAGCGAUCGCAGCAUAAAAAAUCGAAAUUUUCUUCAAGUUAACGGCAAUUAAGAAAAUUGCUAGUGUUACAGCCACCAAGACGUGUCUUUUAUCCGAUUGUGAUUUUUUUUUAUAACAUAUGUUCUUUGCAACAACGUCUUUCCAACCGUGUAAUUUGACGAUUAUCGGCAUUGAAACAUAGUUUGAUAACAUAAGAUUUUCUACAUAAAUUAUUCUAAAGUA